AUAAUUCUCAUGUAAUUCAAAUCUCUCUUUUAUAUUUCAUGGUUAAUUUUUUUAUUGGGGUUAUGCGUGAAAUAUUUGUUUUUUCUCAAUUAUGUUUUUCUUAUGUUUUAAGAUUAGUGUUAAAUGUGAUCGUUUUCUAAACGUUCUAAUUUAUUAUUUGUUCAUAUUAACAUAGUAUAAAUAUCAAUAUGUAACAUCAAAUCUUUCAUAUUAAUCAUAUAUAUGUAAUAUAAGUAUUAUAUAGUUGUAAAUAUAAUAUCAAUUUAAUAUUAAUGUUAAUGCCGCAAAUGUUAAUGCCCGCACAUGGGUGCAGGCGGUCCAGCUAGUUAUACAUUAAAGCAAAUAUGAUAUAAACACAUUCUUUUACCAAAAAAAAGAUAUAAAUUUACACCCAAAAAAAAAAAAAAAAGAUAUAAACACAUUUUCGGUGUGAGAUGAACUUAAAAAAAAGGCUAAGGUGAUCUGGAAACUGCAUGUAUGCAUUUCGGCGCCGUAACCAAAUUCAGCACGGCGUUAUCUCAAUUUUUUUUUUUUUUUUGCGUUAUCUCAAUUUUAUGUAUUUGAAAUUAAAGAUUUAUCUGUACGUCCGGUAAACAAUUCAUCUCGCCGCCCACCUUCGUUUAUAUGCGUACUACCAUACCCGUUGAGAUUCCGACAUGCAGCACUACCAUCGUAAUGUCGGUUUUUGCAAAGACGAAAAAUGCAAGACAUAACCAAAAAAGUACAUUACAAAAAUAUUCGAUUCCAACAAGUAACUAAC
rnacentral:lncRNA from 1 species